GAUGAACGCUGGCGGCGUGCCUAAUACAUGCAAGUCGAGCGAACAGACGAGGAGCUUGCUCCUCUGACGUUAGCGGCGGACGGGUGAGUAACACGUGGAUAACCUACCUAUAAGACUGGGAUAACUUCGGGAAACCGGAGCUAAUACCGGAUAAUAUAUUGAACCGCAUGGUUCAAUAGUGAAAGACGGUUUUGCUGUCACUUAUAGAUGGAUCCGCGCCGCAUUAGCUAGUUGUUAAGGUAACGGCUUACCAAGGCAACGAUGCGUAGCCGAACUGAGAGGGUGAUCGGCCACACUGGAACUGAGACACGGUCCAGACUACUACGGGAGGCAGCAGUAGGGAAUCUUCCGCAAUGGGCGAAAGCCUGACGGAGCAACGCCGCGUGAGUGAUGAAGGUCUUCGGAUCGUAAAACUCUGUUAUUAGGGAAGAACAAAUGUGUAAGUAACUAUGCACGUCUUGACGGUACCUAAUCAGAAAGCAACGGCUAACUACGUG
rnacentral:rRNA from 1 species